GCGCCCGAGCUGCGAGUGCGCCGGGGGGUGGAGUGCCGCCUUUUAAAGCCGCUCCGCGCCAGGGAAGCGCCGCCGCCGCCACCGCCGCGGGCGGGAGCCAGGGAGGAGGAGGCGGCCGCGGCGCGUUCCCGCCCGCGCGGCCCGGCGGCGCCCCCGGGCCCGCGCUCCUGCGGCCGGGCUCCGGGGCCGAGACCGGUCCGGGAGGCCCGAAACGCCCCCCACCGGGGGAACUUCUCCGCCGACUUUUGGGGCUCUCGGGACGCAGGACCGCCCCAGCGGCGGCCUCGGCCCCGCGAGUUCUGCUGGGAGCGGGGAGGCCCUGGCGUCUCAGAAGCACCCACUGAGCUGGGACCAGCAGUGGGAAAGUGAGUUGAAUCAUCCUCACCCCUGUUGCCUGGAGCAGCCUGGUAUCCAGUGGAUAAUGAUUUGAAGUACCCUGGAGAUGUAUGGAAAUGUUCCAUGACCAAGGAAUUAUGAAGGAUGGACUGGAUGCUCAUCAGCCCCUGCCAAUGGAGAGACACGAGGCCCUCAUGCAAACUGGCAGCCCUAGAGGAGAACCCACCAUACCUGUUGGACAGAAACAGUACCCAGAACCCUCAGUCUGCCUCUGCCUGACAUGGCCCUGGCUGCCUGGCCAACUGGCCUGUAGAAGAGGGAUAUUGGCCUGAGUCAAGGGGACAGAGUUGGAGGCAUUGCAUUGUCACCUAGCAGCAGUAUGUCUGGGCAACAUGUGUUACCUCUCUUCCCCUUCUCCUGCCGGCCAGAUAUCCCUCAGAUUCAUCCUGGAUCCGGUACUGUUCUUCUUCGAGUAUAUGGCCUGCUUCAAGAUAAUGUACACUGCACAUCAGCUAAAUAAUUAUAAAGCAGCUAGUGUCUCCCAAGACGGAGCCCCCGCAAUGUCAGUGAUUUUGACAGGCAGAGGUGACUGCCACAGAUCGGAGGAUCAUAUCCUCUCAAUACAGCCUCCAGGGAAGAAGCACAGGAGCGACUUUCCAUCUCUUGAAUGUCUUCUUCUCCCUGGGGAAGAAGCACCUAAAUCUCCAGUCCACUUCCUCUCAGGCCCCACCUACCAGAUCUGGGUCACAGCCCUCCCCCCCGCCUGCUGCCAGGUAAUCAUAGACAGGGUGAGCAGGGAGGCUCAGGUUGCUUUCCAUCAGUCUUACCUCUUCUCCUGGGGAACACUCCCUGAGCACAUUGCUGCCCCAGAUUGA
ensembl:lncRNA